UUGACGGGGCCGCACAAGCGGUGGAGCAUGUGGUUUAAUUCGACGCAACGCGAAGAACCUUACCAGGGCUUGACACUCCCCUGACCGCGUAUGAAAGUACGUUUUCACCCUCGGGUGACAGGGAGACAGGUGGUGCAUGGUUGUCGUCAGCUCGUGUCGUGAGAUGUUGGGUUAAGUCCCGCAACGAGCGCAACCCCUGUGGUUAGUUGCCAGCAAGUAGCGUUGGGCACUCUAGCCAGACUGCCGGUGAUAAAUCGGAGGAAGGUGGGGACGACGUCAAAUCAUCAUGCCCUUUAUGUCCUGGGCUACACACGUACUACAAUGGCCGUUACAACGGGAAGCGAAGGAGCAAUCCGGAGCAAAUCCCUUAAAGGCGGUCCCAGUUCAGAUUGUGGGCUGAAACUCGCCCACAUGAAGGCGGAAUUGCUAGUAAUUGCAGAUCAGCAUGCUGCAGUGAAUACGUUCCCGGGCCUU
rnacentral:rRNA from 1 species